rnacentral:rRNA from 1 species
AUUGAACGCUGGCGGCAGGCUUAACCCAUGCAAGUCGAGCGAGCGGCGGACGGGUGAGUAAUGUCUGGGAAACUGCAUGAUGGAGGGGGCUAACUACUGGAAACGGUAGCUAAUACCGCAUACCCUCAGAUGUGCCCAGCUGGGAUUAGCUAGUAGGUGGGGUAAUGGCUCACCUAGGCGACGCACCCUAGCUGGUCUGAGAGGAUGACCAGACACACGGGAAGUGAGACACGGUCCAUACGUCGACGGGAGGCAUCAGUGGGGAAUAUGGCACAAUGGGCGAAAGCCAGAUGCAGCCAUGCCGGGUGUGUGAAGAAGGCCUUCGGGUUGUAAAGCACUUUCAGCGAGGAGGCGGUACUCGCAGAAGAAGCACCGGCUAACUCCGUGCCAGCCGCCGCGGUAAUUC